GUGUCCUCAUAUAUUGUUCAAAUGACCAUCUGGUUCUGGGAAAAGAGCACUAACAAUGGCUUUUCUGCGUGAAAUAUACGGCGACCCUAGCUGGAAUGUAUCUCAUGAAUUAAGACAAUUCCAGGUUCAGGAAAAAAGGGCAAUGCAAGUUAUUGUUCCAAUUGCUUCAAGUGCUCAUCAUGUUGAGCUUAAUGUGACCAAGGAAACAAAUGCUAAAUAUG